AUUGAACGCUGGCGGCAUGCCUUACACAUGCAAGUCGAACGGCAGCACGGACUUCGGUCUGGUGGCGAGUGGCGAACGGGUGAGUAAUAUAUCGGAACGUACCUUUCAGUGGGGGAUAACGUAGCGAAAGUUACGCUAAUACCGCAUAUUCUGUGAGCAGGAAAGCAGGGGAUCGCAAGACCUUGCGCUGAUUGAGCGGCCGAUAUCAGAUUAGCUAGUUGGUGAGGUAAAGGCUCACCAAGGCGACGAUCUGUAGCGGGUCUGAGAGGGUGAUCCGCCACACUGGAACUGAGACACGGUCCAGACUCCUACGGGAGGCAGCAGUGGGGAAUUUUGGACAAUGGGGGCAACCCUGAUCCAGCCAUGCCGCGUGAGUGAAGAAGGCCUUCGGGUUGUAAAGCUCUUUCGGCCGGGAAGAAAUCGUGUGGGCUAAUACCCCAUAUGGAUGACGGUACCGGAAUAAGAAGCACCGGCUAACUACGUGCCAGCCGCCGCCGUAAGAC
rnacentral:rRNA from 1 species